AGAACGAACGCUGGCGGUAUGCCUAACACAUGCAAGUCGAACGAGACCUUCGGGUCUAGUGGCGCACGGGUGCGUAACGCGUGGGAAUCUGCCCUUGGGUUCGGGAUAACAGUUGGAAACGACUGCUAAUACCGGAUGAUGUCUUCGGACCAAAGAUUUAUCGCCCAAGGAUGAGCCCGCGUAGGAUUAGCUUGUUGGUGAGGUAAGAGCUCACCAAGGCGACGAUCCUUAGCUGGUCUGAGAGGAUGAUCAGCCACACUGGGACUGAGACACGGCCCAGACUCCUACGGGAGGCAGCAGUGGGGAAUAUUGGACAAGUGGGCGAAAAGCCUGA
rnacentral:rRNA from 1 species